rnacentral:rRNA from 1 species
AGCCACCCUUUAAAGAAAGCGUAACAGCUCGUUGAUCCAGUUUUGUCGCGCUGAAAAUGUAUAGAGACUCAAAAUAUUAACCGAAACGGCGAAUUUUAAAUGAAAAUGGUAGCGGAACGUUCUGUAUUUUUUAGAAGGCAAGUUGUAAAAUUUGCUGGAGAAAUCAGAAGCGAGUAUACUGGCAUGAGUAGCGAUAAAUAAUGUGAAAAACAUUAUCACCGUAAAUCCAAGGGUUUCGUAGCACGGCUAAUCCGCUACGA